UUGCUUCAGCAGCACAUAUACUAAAAUUGGAACAGUACAGAGUAGAUUAGCAUGACUCUGUGCAAGGAUGGCACACAAAUUUGUGAAGUUUGGUAUUUUAAA
ensembl:snRNA U6 U6 spliceosomal RNA